rnacentral:tRNA from 1 species
GGUGGUUCAGUGGUAGAGUGCUUGCCUUGCAUGCAUGAAGUCCUGGGUUCAAUUCCUCAGCACCA